UUCACCCAUGCCCUCAAUGGAUCAAACUCUGACAAGUUACUUUAGAGGAGCUUGUUGACCAAAAAUCCAGUGGCCUAAAGGAAGAAGGCACGUUGGAAAGCACAGCAAAAACUGAUUGCUAGUUUGAAGGGUAGAGGUUGAAAGUAGAAAGAAAAGCAGAUGGGAUGUACAGUAUACUAACUUACCUACCAGCCCAAUCCCAACAUUCAGACAUUGCUUAUCCAUUAAGCUUCUUUCCAAUAUUUUAAGUGUAUAAAUACAUAAUAAUAAUCUCAAAGCAUAUUCAGUCAGACAGAAGAAGAGAAAAAGAAAAAUGCCGCCACCAGGAUGGGGACCACCUCCAGGAGGACCGCCGGGGCCUCCCGGUUUAUGUGGCUGUUUUGAUUUUCUUUGCGGUGGUAUUUGCCGUCUUCUUUCUUCUUGUUUUUAUGUUCUGUGCUGCUGCUGCAUAUUUGAAAGCUGCUGUGGGCCAAUGUUCGGCGGGCCGCCUGGGCCAAGACCUUUUUAAUUAUAGUGCUCAUCUCUUUUGCCCUUUUACUCUGUUGUCCAUUUGUGUUUUAGGCUGUUGUGAACUGUGAUGUGAAACAAAAAUCUAAUUCUGCCCCUUUCUGUUCUUUCUUCCCAGCAUGGAACAUGGUUCCAGUCCACGCUUUUAUUUGUUCUAAAAUAAGAAAUUAAAGGUUAGAAUAUGUUGUAAUUUUUUAUGCAUUUUAUACCUUUAUAAUUUAUUCUCUUGCUUUUAUUUUUAAGAA